GAGGGGAACGCAGUGAUUCUUCCUGGGGCCGGAAGGGCGUGGAGAGGAGAGGCUGGGAGCCUAAUUCAAGGAUGGCUGGGAGCCGAAUGGAGCCGGUUUUCCUGGGAGAAGCAGGGGACUGCCGCGUGGGGGUGCCUGGAGGCCGGAGCCCUGGGGGGUGGGACACAGUGAGGCAGGUGCGCCAGGACAAAACCUCCAAGACCUGGAAGGCCCAGGCUUGGCGCUGUGCCUCUGAGAAACACAGCCCAGUGGCCAAAACCAGCAGCAAGGAUUCCAGCCUUGAUUUCCAUCUCUCAGCAAACACCAGGGGGGACCCAAUUCUUCAGCCUAAAUGCCCUGUCCCCUCCCUUCCCAAGUCACCUCUGCCCCUCAGAGCCCUGCCUCUUUAGAGGGGAGAAGGGAGACCCGCCUUCUGAGUUUGCAGCUUCAAGGCCAAGGGCAAGAACCUUUAUCCUGAGUUAAAGAUGCUUUCCCCCCGCCCCAUAUAAAGAAGUCAGCGCUGAGCUGCUGUGUGCCCCCGUCACACUGGGUUAUCUCUGCAGAACCAAGGAGAAAACCACUGUCCCAGCUAGACCUUCACUGGGUAGCUGAGGCAACGAAGGGAGUCCAGGAGGCGAGGGACAGUCCAAGUCUUGGUGGGUCAGCAGAGGCCCCAGGCCCGCCCCUCUCCGCUCUGCAGGCUGCAUCUCUGGGCAUGGCCCCGGCACUCCCCAGGGAUGGCCACUCACUGCCCUAGGGGACUGCAGGACCACUGGCCCAGCUGCUCAGAGAGGCACCAGAGGGGAGGUGGCUACGGACAGAGAGACCAGGAGCCCGGAGGUCGGCCAGCUCCGCCGACACCUCCGCCCCUCUGCAUCGUGGCUUCCUUGGCUGGACGGGCCUGCAGACGCGGGGAGGUCCGUGCGGGAGCCCAUGGGCCUCUUGCCCCGAUGCGGAAGCCACACGCCGUCUCGGCCAGCCCCAGGACGCAGCGGUUCUGGUCUGUAGAGUCGCCACAAACACUGAAUAUUGGAGAACUGAGCCAUCACCCCAGGCGGAGCCCAGGGUCAGGGUCCCACCAGCCUCGGGCCACAUUCUUUCAGCCAGCUGAUACAUAAUCUUGUUCUACGUAUUCUUGCAUUCCUGUUUAAAGACACCGUACUUGGUACGACUGUAUUGUUGGUUCACGAGCGUUGAACCCGCUGCGCUGCCCUGUAGCUCACGUGGACGGUGUGGUCCUCAGACACAGGCGGUUUCUCUGUGAGGCACGUCCAACCUCCCUGUGCUAAGGGCCACUGGACGCACUUCAGGGCUGUGCUGGGGGCCGCUUUAAACGGGAAUCUCCUCCCGAAAAAGCACAAAAAUGUGGAAAACUGAACACUAAAUUGGCCGUGUUUGCAGCAGGCGAUUAAACGAGAAGGCACAGAGCAUCACCUCGUCCGACCUCAGCUGGGGACUCACAGUUUUUGCCGGUCUACACAUGUCAGCAAAAGACUGCAAAACAAGUAGUGAUUUUAGGGUCACAAAUAGAUUUUAGCGAGUAGGCAAGUUCCCAAAUACAGAUCUGCAAAUGAUGAGAUCUCCUGAGCGUGUGACCGCUACUCAGAGGAAGAGGCUAGAGGUUACUAACCCACCCGAGCCUCUGACUGACCGGCCCGCCCACUGUCCCUUCUGAGAAUCUGGUCCCGAGUCCCACCUCCCCUCCCCAGACCAGGGAUGGGCCCUGACUGACGUCACCUUCUGCCACGAGGGGGUGUUGAGGCUACAGUGGCCAAAGCUGCCAGGCUACAGAGGAAAGGCGCUGAAGGAGAGGCAGGGGUGCUGAGGGGAGCGGGGCCCAGGGCCGGAGCCUGCAGCUGCUGCCGCAUUACAGCCCACCUUUCUGGAGGUGGCCAGAGUGGUCAGGUUCCUGUCAACAAGCACAGGGGCAGAACGGUUGCCCGAGGAGCCAUAGCUGCUCUGUAGCAGAGCUAGGUACCCCAGGUCUUACUCACCAGGUAGACCUAGUCCUGCAGUGGAUGAGUGGAUGGAUGGAUGA